UGAUGACCGUUCCUCUUGCUGUCAGAAGUCUUAGACAGUGAGAUUUUGUGUCAUCAAAGAUUAAAGGUGGCCUUUCUUCACUCACUGUGUCUUUGGAUGGGUAUGGCUGUCCGUUGGCACUGUUGAACUUUGCGGGGUCACACAUUC
rnacentral:snoRNA from 1 species